CCGACUCCAUGGACCUAUAAUCAGCUCUCCAAAGUCUCUAUCCAGUGAUAGGGACCCCAAGGUAGGUCAAAGUCUCGAUAUGCUCAAGGAUCCUCAGCCUAUCCUGAAUUGCCUGCUUCACUUGAGUCUUUGUCUUGGGAUUGAAGACGAUACUGAAUUUCUGUAAAUUCACAUGUUGGUCCGAUACUUAACAGUAAGGCUUGACAAUGGAUGCGAAGUACCUCG
rnacentral:lncRNA from 1 species